UGUUGCUCUUUUUGUCUGCAGUGGAGAGGCUUGGGUAAACGUCCACAGCACCUGUGGUUCAGGCAGAGGUACAGUUGGUCAUUUCCUUCCCCUCUGGUCCUGAAGCAACAGCCCAGGAGGCUGAGUCAGGAGUGACUGCCAAGCAGAUGCAAGAGCUGAUCUGUCUGCUGCUCCCACCUGUCUGCUCUCAGCUUUGCAGGCAUCUUUCCACGGGGCCCUGGAAUGUUGCUGGUGAACGGAAGAGAUGAACAGGAGGAGGGAAUAGCUGUUCCACGAUUACUCUCUGAGAAAGGUCUCCAUACUCCCCUCAGCGGGGCGGCCCACACAGAUUUUUCAAAGCAACCCCAUCUGAUCUGAGACACAUCUGGAACCGCUUCCCCAGCCCUUGACUGCGAGCCUCCUCCAACAGCGAUCAGAGGCUGGAUAGGAGCAGGGAGCAAUUCGGCUGGCCCAGCCUCCAAGGCUCCCUUACACCGGCCAGCGGCCAGCGCCACUGCUUUAGUCCAAGGCUCUUGGGCAGCCAGAAGCACUGCAAAGGCGGGGCAGCACUGAGCACCUUGGUGGGAGAGAGCUGGGGAUAGUGAGCCGGGCCUGGAGGUGAAGACCAAGACGCUUCCUAAUGAGGCCGCCAUAGAAGGAGGCCUCAGUCACCAGAGUGCGGAGUCCAUUCCUCCACAGCUGCCCCUCGCUUAUGGGAAUGAAUGCACUCUGUCAUGAAACUCGCAGGGCUCUGUCAUGUUUCUGUCCCCAGAGCACAGAGCAAAGCCCCGUGAAUGAAUGGAUGACUGCGCUCACAGAUGCAUGAGCCCAGCAUGAGCCUCAGGGACUGCUGGGGUGGACUCCGAGAGGGCAGCAGGGGACAGGCAAAGGCACAGAGGGCACCCUGCUGCUGUGCAGGACUUGGGCCAGCGUGACCCUGGGCAGCGCCCCUCCUCUGUCAUCACAGGUGGACCCUGCUCCGAGGACGGUGACAUCCGCCACAGGAAAUUUCUUUGUAACCUGAUUCGCCUCACUUUCCUUUCACCUGGUCCUGCCGCGCCGAGGCAUCACUGGUAACAGGUGGCCGAGGCAGCCUGGGCCGGGUGGGAGACACAGCUGGUGACAUUAGCAGACGUGGGCCACCUGAGCUAAGGAGCCAGGGACACGGGGCAGCGCCUCCUAGACGCGUCCUCCCAGGGGUGGGGGUGCUCUCUUCACCUGGCUUCCAGACCUGGCUCUGUAGUCACCCCCAGCUUCACCCCCAGCUUCACCCCCACGCCACGCACUGAGCUCCCACACAGGCCUCCCAGAGCCUCAGAGCCCCAUCUGCCCUCCAGAUAAAAAGCUGCGAAUCAGUCACUCAGCUGGUGGCACACGCCUGUAAUCCCAGCACUCCUAGCAGGCUGAGACAGGAGAGGACGACAAGUUUGAGCCCAGCCUGGACAACUUUAGCAAGACCCUCUCUCAAAAAGUAAUUUUAAAAAGGGGCCUGGGGGAGUAGUGCAGUGCGAAGGCCCUGGUUCAAUCCCCACCACUGCAAAAAAACAAACAAAAGCUCUGGUCGGGCAUGCGGUGGACACACGCCUUGAAUUCUUCCCAAAGCCAUCACUUGGUGUGUUGGUGAUGCCAGCCCUGUCUGGAUUCCACCUUCUAACCCUCCCUCUGUCCUGCUAGAACAGUGCCAGAGAAUUUGCCAAACCUGUGGCUUCUGCGUCUACCUUCGGUGCCUGAGCCUGGAGCCACCCCUCCCCGCUGCCCCCUGCCCCCUGCACCCCACUCCCUGCCUCAGGGGGAGCCCCUCAUAGCUCUGCCACCAGCCAUCCAGAUGCCACCUGCACCCUCUCCCCCCCCCCCAGCAGAUGGCGCUGCUGGCUGAGAGCGGCUCACAGGGCCCUGCUGGGGACAUCCCACUCAGGCAGGCAGGGACCAAGACAGAACUUCCUGGCCACUUGCCACAGCCCCCCACUGAUCUUUGCAGGUUCUUUGGGGUGCCCACCUUGACUCCGGCCAGGCCUGUGACACCCACCGGAACCUCCUCCGAGGAGCCGGUUCCAGCAGGUUAUCGCCUCCCUCUGCUCUGUUCCUGUGCCCCCCCAUCCUCUGGUCCCAUCCGGCAGCACCCAAAUAUUCUCCGAGGUCGCUUUGCUCUUGGCAGCCAGCGCAGCCCACAGUGUCCCCAUCUCACUUCUUCCCCUGUCCCCUCAUUCAGGUCACAAAUGACUCGCUGAUGGUUAGGUACCACUCGUUUUUUGGUUUUGUUUUUGUAUUUUUGUGGCACUGGGGACUGAACCCAGGGCUUCCUAAGUGAACUACAUCCCAGCCCCUUUUUUAUUUUUUAUUUUGAGACAGGGUCUCACAAAAUUACCCAGACUGGUCUCAAACUUGCAACCCUCCUGUCUCAGCCUCCUAGACUGCUGGUCUGACGGAAGUGAGCUGUCUUCUGUCUGACCUGAUGUCUCUGGCUGGCUAUUGGUGACAAGGCCUCAUCUCCCAAAGUGAGAGGUUUCCUCAUAGAGGCCACCCUGCCCAGGCGGACACUGAGGAUCAAACUCCAGGCCUCCAUCCCUUCCUUCUCUUGUGGCGUCUGACAGGCCUGCUCCUCAGGCAGCUGCCUCUGGGCGCCUGUAGAAAGCCCCGCUGCUGUGCUAGGUGUUUCCCACACCUGUAAUCCCAGCACUGGGAAUGCUGAGAAUGGAAGAUUGCAAAGUCAACCCCAAUACCAGCAAUUGAGUGACUUAGUGAAAUCCUGUCUUGAAAUAGAAAAUAAAAGGGCUGGGGGUGUAGCUCAGGGCAAAGACCCUGGGUUCAGCACCCAAUA